GACGAACGCUGGCGGCGUGCUUAACACAUGCAAGUCGAACGGAAAGGCCCUGCUUUUGUGGUGUUCUCGAGUGGCGAACGGGUGAGUAACACGUGAGUAACCUGCCCUUGACUUUGGGAUAACUUCAGGAAACUGGGGCUAAUACCGGAUAGGAGCUCCUGCUGCAUGGUGGGGGUUGGAAAGUUUCGGCGGUUGGGGAUGGACUCGCGGCUUAUCAGCUUGUUGGUGGGGUAGUGGCUUACCAAGGCUUUGACGGGUAGCCGGCCUGAGAGGGUGACCGGCCACAUUGGGACUGAGAUACGGCCCAGACUCCUACGGGAGGCAGCAGUGGGGAAUAUUGCACAAUGGGCGGAAGCCUGAUGCAGCAACGCCGCGUGCGGGAUGACGGCCUUCGGGUUGUAAACCGAUUUCGCCUGUGACGAAGCGUGAGUGACGGUAAUGGGUAAAGAAGCACCGGCUAACUACGUG
rnacentral:rRNA from 1 species